rnacentral:tRNA from 1 species
GUGUCUCUGGCACAAUCAUUAGAGCGUUCGGCUGCUGUCCAAGAGGCUGGUGGUUUGAAUCCACCAAGGGAUG